rnacentral:misc_RNA from 1 species
AUAAUAACAAUAUCAUCAACAUAUGCUACAAGUAAGAUUAGUUCAGCCUUAGAAUGUCUAUAAAACACCGAAUGAUCAGACUUGCUCUUCUUCAUACCAAACUGCUAAACUAUCUCAUUGAAUCUGCCAAUCUGUUUCAAGCCAUAAAGGGAUUUUCGGAGCUUGCAAACUUUGCAUAACUCCCCCUGAGCAACAAAACCUGGUGGUUGCUUCAUAUAAACU